ACCGCCUACGUCACAUAUCCUAUCCUAUCUUCCCAUGUUUUUCUUCAAUUCACUAUGCGCUAUUCAUAUCUCGUUUACUUUACCUAGUUUCUUUAUUUUGUUGGAAAAGGAAAAUUGCUUGAUCAAUUAGUUGGAAGCUUCAACCAAUAAUGCCGCCCCCUUUUUUGAAUCCUCCAAUGCGACCGGAGAAACCGUAUUUUCAAUAUGAAUUUCCCUAACAACUUCCGGUCAUUUUUUAACAAACAAUUCGUUACUACGAAAUUUCUCAGAGGUUCCAAAAUCCUGAAAGGUUUCCAACGGUUUUUCGAUUUUUUGGCUAAUUCUUCGGUGUUAUCGCUUAGAAAACAAGAUUGACGGCGCUCCAAUAUCGCGUGUCUUUCUGCCUUUUUCAAUUAUUAUAUAGUACGCGUCUUUGCAAUUGCGAUGCCGUUUUGAAUGCUUCUAAACUACUCAUACAGCAUAUUGUACAGAUCGACGAAGACGCAGUAGCUCGGGUUAUCACCCUGCAGCCGCCGCCAAACUCCAAUUAAUUGAAGCUUAUCUGAUUUGUUCUUAGUCAUAGACAAUGGAUAUAUUUUACCAUCCACACAUGGAUCGGGAAAUUGAAUCGCUCAUUGGGAGAAUACAUCCUCCCAGGGUCUGCAUAGACAACGAUUCUUGCGGAGAAUGCACCGAGUGAAGGUCGAUAGUGCAAACAAGCACGGGAUAUUAUUGGAGGUGGUCCAGAGAUCUUGAUCUUAUUAUUUCUAGAUCAUACAUUUCCUCUCAUGGUGGAUAGUUUAUGGAUGGUAUGUGUCUCUCUCUGCACUCCCAUUUUCUUUUCCAUUUAUGAUUAAACCAACACUGUAAUUAAAGAGGGAUAGGAAUAUAUAUUAUUCGAACACAGAAAUCUUUUAAAUAACAAAAUACUGACUUGUCUCUUUUUAGUUUGUGUCUACUUAAAAUUGGUUUACCUGCCCCUCUAAUCCUCUAUGAUGAUCACUUACACAUUUUUAAAUAAUAAUUUUCUCGGGUGAUCCGUAGAUAAUUGAUAAGUCGCUUUGUUUGUUGUUGUUCUUGUUACCGUAUGACAUAUGCAUGAGUAAUGUACACCCGUAGCCCCAUAACUACACUAUCGUCUCUAAACUGCAAUAUAAUGACACCACUAGAAGAAAAGGAAAUAUCUCAAGUGAUGAAGAUGAUGAAACUACGUCAGAACCAUAUGGUUGCGAUGGGCCCCACUCACUCCAAACACGGCCUUGGAGAUGACUGGGCUGGACCGGCCCGGCCUACUAUCUGAAAUAGCUUCGGUGCUAAUGUUAGUUCUUCAACAUCCUCAUUGUGCACAACAAAUCUUUUUUUUUUUCUUUGAAUGUCUGACCUCUCAAGAAUAAUGUCUAUUAUUUUUAUAUUAUUCUUAUAUGAAUAACAUUUAAUUUGUCUUC